UUCUAAGGGCGGUGAAGUCAGACCGGAAGGACUGGUGGAGCGCUUAGAAGUGAGAAUGCCGGUAUGAGUAGCGAAAGAAGGGUGAGAAUCCCUUCCACCGAAUAUCUAAGGUUUCCUGAGGAAGGCUCGUCCGCUCAGGGUUAGUCGGGACCUAAGCCGAGGCCGAUAGGCGUAGGCGAUGGACAACAGGUAGAGAUUCCUGUACCAGUGCUAAUUGUUUAACCGAUGGGGUGACACAGAAGGAUAGGGAAUCGCACGAAUGGAAAUGUGCGUCCAAGCAGUGAGUGUGAGAAGUAGGCAAAUCCGCUUCUCGCGAAGCAUGAGCUGUGAUGGGGAAGGAAAUUAAGUACGGAAGUUCCUGAUUUCACGCUGUCAAGAAAAGCCUCUAG
rnacentral:rRNA from 1 species